GAUACAGCCGAGGGGAGGCACCUACCUGAAGGGGCCUACUGCAAAGUUUCUAUGGACAACCAGGUGCAUGAUUGAAAGACUUAGGGGUCUUCCCCUGUGGGGGACAUUCCUGGCUUAAAAGUGUUCAAGCGGUGAAGCGGGGCGAUAUCCCAGGUGUGAUAGCAUGAUCUCAGGAUCCCGGGGGUCCCCAGAAGACCAGCUGGGGCCCGAAUGCUUCUGAGUUCCCAGACAUCAGUUAGGGAGGAAGGCUGAAAACCAGGAAGCUAGGUCCCGGCUUUCUGCUCUGGGAAGCAAGCUGGGCCCAGAUACCACCUUAUUCCAUCCACAAAGUCUCACACAUCUCGCCAUUCUGGUUGCAAUGAAGAAAUGGACUGUACACCAGAAUUUCAUACCUGUGGAUUAUGCCCAGGAUUUAAGGUGCUAGAGAAACAUUUUUUGACAUAAGGAUGGAGAAAUGGUUCCUCCACAACAGCUACUGGAAGGACAACUGAAGGAUUAUUUCAGCACAGGAAGUCAGACGUGCAGGAGUAAAUGGGAAACAAGGAGCCCGGUGGACCACGGGAGGCCAGAGGCGGGAACCGGCUCCCCUGGCCGCGCGCAGGAGGGAUUUCAGCGGAAGCUGUCGAGCGACUUUCAUAAAUGAAGCUUUAAAAUGACCUUCUUAAAAGAAGAGUAAAUCCUCGGUUUCCGUGUGACUCUGCAGACACAGCCCGGAGGUCAGCCCUGGGGGCCCGGAGCAGGCCGGUGCGUGUGGGUGGUCGCAGGCGGCCGGUGUCCAGCCUCGGGCCGCGCCAGCGCCGCAGGACGAAAACGCUCGUGUGGCCUUUCCCUGCGCCCCGACGGAGCCCGAGGCCGUUGUGAGGUGCUGGCCGCGGGCAGGACGGACGCGCCCCCCCGCCCCCCCCACCGCGCCUCCAGGGGCCCGGGCAGCUCGCGGUCAUCUGGAUGUACAGUCUCUGUUGUCUCUGGUUUUAAAUAACAAGCCGCUUAGAACCUGAUUUUUACGCAGAUUAAAUUCAUUGUCACUUCGCUUUGAUCUUCAGCAAUAUUUAUAAAUUGAGUCAUUGUAAAGGUUUCCUCAUUUGAUCCAGUUUUAUACGAACUCUGGUUUGUUUGAGUCCGAUGUCCAGGAAGAAACAGGACACCUUCACUUGGAGAACCGGGCUCGGGCCCAAGAAAGCUUUCCUACAAAUAACGUGUUUUUCUAGGAGCCUCCGGGUGGAGACACAGGGGCUCCUCCUGUGGUCCGGCACCACCUGCUGCUCAGUGGCAACUGUCCUGCCUCGGGAGGCUCAGGCCACCAACUGGAAAACACAAUCUCACCAUCUUCACUUUUGCUGAAUCCAUUAAGUGUAAAAGCCAAUUAUUUUUCUUUUGGAAACUAUUUAUUGGGCAGAAAUACUUUUUAUUGAGUAAUUUUGGUCUGCCACGCCUAUAUUUGAUUUUGCUAUUUGUGCGCUUUUGUUCCUAAACACAGGAAAGACCAAAGGUGCUCUCUCUUUGUGGUCUGGGGCAAGAGCUCAGAUACACCCAGAUUGAUGGGCGCCAGUGAACGUAGGAGCAUCUUUUCUGGCACCCAAGCAGUCAGAAGUGUUUUUGUGGUUUUGGUUGUUUUGUUCUUUUUUUUUUUUGUUUUUUUUUUUUUUUGUUUGUUUGUUUUUUACUACAGUAAGUAUUAUAGAACCAAAAACCUAAUGCUACUUACUAUCACAAUGAAAUGUUCUUUUACUAAGUUAUUGCUGGUUAUUGAAUAUCUUGUUGAGUACUGGGAUCUGUUACCAAGAAGGAAAUUACGUUUCUUACCAUGUUUGAGCUAAGCAAAUGUGAAUAAUUUUUUAAAGAAAGAAAAAAAAAAGAAGCCUCCUCUGAGACUUGUAUUCUGUUGUUCAUAAUUUUAGGAGUUCUGAGUUUCCUGGAACAGCUGCUUGAGUGUAUUUUUGUACCCAUAUCUUCACUUCUGCCUUUUUCUUCUUAAAUUAAAAAAAAAAAAACUAUGAUGUAUUACACAUUAAAGUUUUCUUGGUUUUAUAUAUCAAAGAAUAAAAACUUUUUUGUUACAUUUAAAAAAAUAAAAUAAAAUCAAUUUAAAAAAUACAAUAUCUCAACUUCUAUGAAGGCAGGAAUUAAUUGUGUGUUGGUUUGACACUUUGCAGAACUUAAGAUACACAAACAUUUAAAACAACAGCAAAAACACUUUAAUAAAUAUGCGUCUUAUCUAGGUUUUCUAAUUUCUUGAAGUGUAAUUAUUGUUAGUAUGCCCUUAUAAUCCUUUUUAUUUCUAUGUGGUUGGUAGUGUUAUUCCUCCUUUGUUCCUGAUUUGACUUGAGAUUUUCUUUUUUUAAUAUGGGCAUUUAUAGCUGUAAGUUUCCCUCUAAGCACUACUUUAAUUAAGUCCCAUCAGUUUGGGUAUAUUUUGUUUAUGUUUUUAUUCAUUAAAAUAUUUUCUGAUUUCUCUUGGGA